AUGACCAUGCAUCUGGUGCCUCAGAAGAGGUCCCUGGAGCACAGCCCUGCCCAGCAGGGGAAAUUCCUGUGCUCACACACAUCUCUGCAGGACGUGCUGCUACAUACAAGGUGCCACCCCUGGUUUUCACAAUGCCUCCAGCAGUUUUUAGAUCAAACAUGCUCUGCACAGACAUGCAGUGGGAUGAGGGGUAGGGCUCCCAUCACUGUCACAUCACAAACACAAGCUCACAGAACGCCACAAACACAACUGGCUCAGCCCAAGCACCCUCUGCUCCAGCUGCUCCUCUCCCAUCCUCAACACCUGCACUCCUGUCUGCAACACUCUGAUGAAGCUUCUUGCCAGCCCACAAGCUCUAAAGGAUGCUCUGAUGAAGAAUGUAGAUAUUCUAUCAUCACUCCCAGGGGUGAAGAGUUGCCUGAGGUGACACAAACCAGCUGGGGAGGCUGCAGGAGGUGCCUGUGGUCCCAGCCCUUGCUGGGUGCUGGAGAAGCAGUGUCCCCAGGAGGAGUCAUGCUGGGACAGUGCCACAGGCUGCAGCCAGAGAUCAGCACAAGCAUUUCCUGCACACAGCCAGGGUCAGGUCCUGCUCCUCAAGGCCCAGCUGAACAACAGCACUCACAUGCCUGGGAUGCCCUUGGAUCCCAGCUGGCUCUUCCAUGGCUGCCAUAGCCUGACCAUGAGCCCAAAAUGACACACCUCAGCCCAAAAAACUUCCUCAGCUGCCUUUUGACAUAUAAACGUGGAAAAGUGACCAUCAGAAACACCAGUGACAGCACUGGGGAGAGGCAAAUGCAGAUUUCUAUGUAAAGAAGGGUAAUUUAUGCUGAUGUGGGUACAAUAAAAAACAAUUCCAGUAUGUAUUAUGUAAAAUU
rnacentral:lncRNA from 1 species